GAUGAACGCUGGCUACAGGCUUAACACAUGCAAGUCGAGGGGAAACGGCAUUGAGUGCUUGCACUGAAUGGACGUCGACCGGCGCACGGGUGAGUAACGCGUAUCCAACCUUCCCGUUACUGCGGGAUAACCUGCCGAAAGGCAGACUAAUACCGCAUGUUCUUCGCUGACGGCAUCAGAUUCGAAGCAAAGAUCCGUCGGUAACGGAGGGGGAUGCGUCUGAUUAGCUAGUUGGCGGGGCGACGGCCCACCAAGGCGACGAUCAGUAGGGGUUCUGAGAGGAAGGUCCCCCACAUUGGAACUGAGACACGGUCCAAACUCCUACGGGAGGCAGCAGUGAGGAAUAUUGGUCAAUGGGCGGAAGCCUGAACCAGCCAAGUAGCGUGCAGGAUGACGGCCCUACGGGUUGUAAACUGCUUUUAUGCGGGGAUAAAGUGAGGGACGCGUCCCUUUUUGCAGGUACCGCAUGAAUAAGGACCGGCUAAUUCCGUG
rnacentral:rRNA from 1 species